rnacentral:rRNA from 1 species
UACGUAGGGGGCAAGCGUUGUCCGGAAUCAUUGGGCGUAAAGCGCGUGUAGGCGGCUUGGUAAGUCUGCUCUGAAAGCCCGGGGCUCAACCCCGGGAGGCGGGUGGAUACUGUCAAGCUCGAGUCCGGAAGAGGAGUGUGGAAUUCCUGGUGUAGCGGUGAAAUGCGCAGAUAUCAGGAGGAACACCAAUGGCGAAGGCAGCACUCUGGGCCUUACCUGACGCUGAGGCGCGAAAGCUAGGGGAGCGAACAGG